GUGCAUCUAAAUUACAUUAAAUAUUUAGUUGAGCAUUUUGUUUUAGUAUUUUUUUUGUUCAUUUGUCAUUCAUUUUUUCCAUGGAACACAUGACUCCCAGGAAUUGUUUAGACAGUGAUGAGUGUGUUUUUCUUGUGAUGUUCGAUGAGGAGCUUAAUUCUUCAAUAAACUUAGAAAGUUGUGACAAUAGAUUAGGUGGUU
rnacentral:lncRNA from 1 species